CCUACGGGAGGCAGCAGUAGGGAAUCUUCCACAAUGGACGAAAGCCUGAUGGAGCAACGCCGCGUGGGUGAAGAAGGUCUUCGGAUCGUAAAACCCGGUUGGUAGAGAAGAAAAAGGGAGAGAGUAACGGAACACGUCUAGACGGUAUCGAACCAGAAAGCCACGGCUAACUACGAGCCAGCAGCCGCGGUAAUACGUAGGUGGCAAGCGUUAUCCGGAUUUAUUGGGCGUAAAGGGAGCGCAGGCGGUCUGUUAAGUCUGAUGUGAAAGCCCUCGGCUGACCCGGAGUGGUGCAUUGGAAACUGGGAGCCUUGAGUGCAGCAGAGGAGAGUGGAACUCCAUGUGUAGCGGUGAAAUGCGUAGAUAUAUGGAAGAACACCAGUGGCGAACGCGGCUCUCUGGUCUGUAACUGACGCUGAGGUUCGAAAGCGUGGGUAGCAAACAGGAUUAGAUACCCCUGUAGUC
rnacentral:rRNA from 1 species